GUCAGGAUGGCCGAGCGGUCUAAGGCGCUGCGUUCAGGUCGCAGUCUACUCUUGUAGGCGUGGGUUCAAAACCAACUUCUGACA